CUUUACAAAAUGAAAAAAAGAAUAAUAAUGAUAAUAAUAAAGAGGCAAACUUCUAAACUCCACGAAUUUUAUAAUAAUAAUGAUAUUUGGGAUUACUUAAUUUUAGAUUACAAAUAUUAUUGAAUCUUGAACUAACCAUAUUAUUAAUAAUAGAAUGAAUUUAUUUUAUUAUUGUUUAUUAUUUUCAGUUUGAUGAAUAAGCAAAGGAUUUGA
rnacentral:lncRNA from 1 species